UAUCACUGACAUAAUAAGAAAUUUGACAUGGAAAAUUUAUCAACAUCAAGCUUUGAGUAGGCAGACAAUGAUGUAGGGGAAUCUACAUGGUAGUGUAACAGUAAUACACUAUUCACAUUACUGCAACAGGGUAGUUUAGUGAGUGCUGGAUUAUUGAGAUGGCCUGCAUUAUAAUGUCUUUUGUGCCUUAAAUCAAGUCUAUUUGCAUUUUGAAUGCUAAUAAAUAUCUUAAUUAA
rnacentral:misc_RNA from 1 species